GAUGAACGCUGGCGGCGUGCCUAACACAUGCAAGUCGAACGAAGAAACGUAAAUGUUUUCUCCGGGACGAACUCAAGUGGAGUAGUAGCGGAAGGGUGAGUAACGCGCUAUUAAACUGCCUUACCCAAGGGGAUCGCCGGCGGAAACGACGAAUAAUACCGAAUGAAACUAUCACUUCGCAUGAAGCGGUAGUCCAAGUGUUAGUGGUGUAAGAUGGACUUGCGUCUGAUUAGCUAGUUGGUGAGAAAAAAGCCCACAAAGGCAACGAUCAGUAGCCGGCUUGAGAGAGUGUACGGCCACAUUGGGACUGAGACACGGCCCAGACUCCUACGGGAGGCAGCAGUGGGGAAUUUUGCACAAUGGGGGAAACCCUGAUGCAGCGACGCCGCGUGAUUUAGAAGGCCUUCGGGUUGUAAAAAUCUUUUGUAUAGGAAGAAAAUGACAGUACUAUACGAAUAAGGUCCGGCUAAUUACGUG
rnacentral:rRNA from 1 species